rnacentral:misc_RNA from 1 species
UUUCCGUAGGUGAACCUGCGGAAGGAUCAUUCAUAAUAGGUGUUUUAUGGCACUUUUUUAAAUCCAUAUCCACCUUGUGUGCAAUGUCAGGGUUGGUCUCUUUUGAUCAGCCCCAAACAUCAACUAUUAUCUCAACUCUUUGUCUGAAAAAUAUUAUGAAUAAAACAAUUCAAAAUACAACUUUCAACAACGGAUCUCUUGGCUCUCGUAUCGAUGAAGAACGCAGC